rnacentral:misc_RNA from 1 species
UGGAUUUUAAUUUUUAUUAAAUUUUAUAUUUUUGAGCCUGACCUCAUUCAGUCUUGUGCCUUGUCGCCUUGCACUGUGGUUAAUUCAAUAAAACACUAACAUUUAGAACAUUACAAUUGAAACCCUAUUUUUAUUUGUGUUUUGAUGCCAGGAACCUGUUAGCUAUCAUGGUUACACACACUGUAACUGUUUAUUUGUUAGAAAAAUAAAAACAUUAAAAAUUGUAUCUAUGGGUUUUUUUUUAUAUAAAAAAAAGUUGCACAUUUGGAAUUUAAAUAAAUAAAUACAUGAAACUCUUUAUUUUUCUAAUCCUCAAUGUCUCCAAAUCAUAAUGCCAACAUUUAUAAAAGCCCACCAUUGACUUGAUGUAGAAUUAGUCCUUUAUUUGGUGAAAUAAUCUUUAAGCAAACCAUGUAUCUGACAAGUCACUAUCAAGUAUCAACACUAAUGUUGAAUUGUUGAUGUAAGGUUACAAUAUUCUAACCAAUUGAUUGCUUAUCAUACAUAUCUUCUUGCCAUUUUGAUGAGAAGAAUGAUGUGGAGAUCAUAUCAUAACUUGUGUUAUUAUUGUGUUUAUAUGGGUGUUGUGCCACAGCUGUGGCUGGUAUCAAUAGUGUCAUUUCACUUGAAGUGCUGAUAACACUAUGAAAUGCAAUUGCAAAUGCACUACAUCUGUGGUGAACCAUCAUUUUCAUUGGUUUAUUUGGACAGUAAAUUUUGUAAGGCCAUCAAUUUGAUUUGAAACACUGCUUUAGUUUUUGAGGUAACAACUCUUUUUGGAAACCAAAAGUCACUUGUUAUACCACCAUGCCAAAGAACCCUGAAAUCACCAAGAACAAAACCAAAGCAAAAUUCUUUAAAGGCUUUUAUCUAAAUGGUAGUCAAGUAAUCAAGUUGCUUCUGUCAGGAAACUGAGUAUAUUGAUGAAUGGUAUGCACUGCAAUUGAGAUCGAAGAUUUUUUAUUGCUGAAUUCUUUAAUCAGGAGAGAGAUGGUGAAUUAGAGAAAAUAAAUUUGGUGAAGCAGAGAACAUGAAUUUAACUUCUUCUUCUUAACUAUCAUAUUAUGCUUCUUUUUUAAAAAAAAAAAAUAAAGAUGCAGUUUAUUAUUAUUUUUUUUUCUCGAAAUGAUUUCUCUAACCAAUCAAUUGCAGCCCAUCCUUUUAUUUUUUGGUGAUAUCAACAGCAGUGAACACUUUCCGUAGAUUGAAAAACGCUUUUGAAAAUAUAGAUGUACAAGUUUGUAUGUGCUUGUAUAUUUGACAUUCCCAUUUUGGUGCUGAAUAAUAAUUGCUGAAACUGAUUAAAGGUUGAACAAAAAAGAGCAAAAUGCCUAGCAGAGUUACUAGAAGCAAAUUUCUGUGGAUUGGACAAGAGUGCUUAUCAAAAUUGUAUAUUAUGGAGUGUGCCAAAGAAUCGUGAGAAGGAAGGAACCUUGCCUUAUAUUCUUUGCUAAGAGUUAAUCUAUGAAUCAUUUAAAUUCCUGUGAACAGAACUUGUGACUACUGUUUAAUAGACAGCCAUCUUGGAUUGAUAUCCUCUGCCUGAUUCAUUUUAGACAUUCUUUACUUUGUUCACAAAAUCAAUGACGCCUAAGUUUUAUGAACGUGUUAAGUUUGCAUCACCUAAUAUGAGCAAGUCUCUUCAUAAUUUCUCUGUUUACGUUUAUGGUUUUAUUUUCUGACUAGUUUUAAAUGUCAUGCAAUUCAUGUCUUUCACAAUAGUUGCAAGUAAAUGUUCUUUUUGCCAGAUGAUUUUAUUUCAAUUGUGUUAAUUUAAUUGUUGUGUUUUGAUAUAAAAGCAUUUUGUUAUCUUGGUUGUGGCUUCAGGGUAUGUCCACUUUGUCGUGG